GAUGAACGCUAGCGGAAGGCAUAAUACAUGCAAGUCGAACGGCAGCACAGCAGAGCUUGCUCUGUGGGUGGCGAGUGGCGGACGGGUGAGGACUACGUGGGAAUCUGCCCAGUCGUGGGGGAUAACGUAGGGAAACUUACGCUAAUACCGCAUGCGCCCUUCGGGGGAAAGCCGGGGACCUUCGGGCCUGGCGCUGUUGCACUAGCCCGCGUCGGAUUAGCGAGUUGGCGGGGUAAUGGCCCACCAAGGCGACGAUCCGUAGCUGGGCUGAGAGGAUGAUCAGCCACACUGGAACUAAGACACGGUCCAGACUCCUACGGGAGGCAGCAGUAGGGAAUAUUGGACAAUGGGCGCAAGCCUGAUCCAGCCAUGCCGCGUGAGUGAAGAAGGCCCUCGGGUUGUAAAGCUCUUUUGUCCGGAAAGAAAAGCGCCGGGUAAAUACCCUGGUGUCCUGACGGUACCGGAAGAAUAAGCACCGGCUAACUUCGUGCCAGCCGCCGCUGUAACAC
rnacentral:rRNA from 1 species